ensembl:lncRNA
CUAUUGAUGCAAAGUAUGAGCAUUACUUUCAGCCAUAAUAGGAUAAAGCAGCAUGUGAUCACCCAAUUGUUUUCUUUAGCAGUUAAGCCAAGUCAACAAGCUAGAUAAAAAGUAGGCAGAAAAUCUAGAAUGCUCUGGUCAGACAUUAAGAGACAGCAUUACCUUGACUGGGAACUUGAUGACUAUAUUUGUUGAUAUAGACUGUAGAUAAUUAAUUUUACUUUUUAAUCAUAACAUAACACACCUGUAAUGUAGAAAUCAAUCUUAUUAUAAAUACUAUCAUCACUCGCCCGCAGGUCCUCUUCCUUGUGGUUCAAUAAUUAGUCAUAAGCUAUAUGUAAUAAAGUGGCACUGAGAUUAAGGCAAACUGUUUAAUUUUUCUUGUGUGUGAUGUUUGUCUUGUGGCCUUCUUCUGUCUUUGAAAAUGAACUUGCAGACAAGUAGCACAGAAACUACUGACCCUCCCGAAGCCACUGCCACUGAGACCAACGGCACUCCGCAAGCCGCUGAGACCAACGGCACUCCGGAAGCCGCUGAGACCAACGGCACUCCAGAAGCUACUGCUACUGAUACCACAGGCUCAUCAAAAGCCACAAGACCCCGGGGCCAGAAGGCAAAAAAAGACAAAAUCCAGUCCAACAGAGGGUAGCCAGCAAGAUGAAGCAAAAAAAAGUGUUAAGUACAUUUUCUCUAUUUAAAAUUAUAUGAUGUAUCAACUACACAUUGAUUCUGCCGUCACAGUUAGGUAUUGUCUAUGCUGGUAUAUUGGUAUACUUAUUAUAUAUUGGUAUACUGGUAUACUCUUUCAGAUGAGUGUCCAGAAUGCUGUUGGAGAGUGAGGCAAAACAACUUUGACUACUCCAAGGUUUUGAAAAGAAGAGUGAGAGAGGGAACAGAGGAGGUCCUCAUUUGUUGGGUUCCAUGCAAGACCUGUGGGACCAAAUGGAAGGACUCCUGGGAGCCCUCCUCCCUUCUUGAAUAAUGAAUUUAAAUUUUUUUAAAUUUUGUAUUUUUUUUAUAAUGAAUAAAAUAACUACAAACAUAAACA